rnacentral:rRNA from 1 species
UGCGAGUCUUUGCAGUAAUGCAAGGCAUACGGCUCUGUAACACGUAGUCAACUUACCCUAUGGACGAGGAUAAUCUCGGGAAACUGAGCAUAAUACUCGAUAGACCAUAAUGCCUGGAAUGGUUUAUGGUUGAAAUGAUUCGUCGCCAUAGGAUGGGACUGCGGCCUAUCAGCUUGUUGGUGAGGUAAUGGCCCACCAAGGCGAUUACAGGUACGGGCUCUGAGAGGAGAAGCCCGGAGAUGGGUACUGAGACAAGGACCCAGGCCCUAUGGGGCGCAGCAGGCGAGAAAACUUUGCAAUGUGCGAAAGCACGACAAGGUUAAUCCGAGUGAUUUCUGCUAAAGAAAUCUUUUGCAAGUCAUAAAACCACUAGUGAAUAAGGGGUGGGCAAGUUCUGGUGUCAGCCGCCGCGGUAAACCAGCACCUCAAGUGGUCAGGAGGAUUACUGGGCCUAAAGCAUCCGUAGCCGGCUCUGUAAGUUUUCGGUUAAAUCCAUGUGCUCAACGCAUGGGCUGCCGAAAAUACUGCAUAGCUAGGGAGUGGGAGAGGUAGACGGUACUCGGUAGGAAGGGGUAAAAUCCUUUGAUCUAUCGAUGACCACCUGUGGCGAAGGCGGUCUACCAGAACACGUUCGACGGUGAGGGAUGAAAGCUGGGGGAGCAAACC